rnacentral:lncRNA from 1 species
GAAGGGUGGAGCAUCGCAAUGUGCUUGAUUUUUGCAGAUUAGGCAAAUUAGGCAUAGGGGUAUUUGGUUGCCAUUGAAAGGAGUAAUGAGGGGCAAAGUUAUCAAUUACAAUCUAAGGUGUUAAAGUUUAACAGAUCAUCCAAACACCCCAAUAUGUUAAAGUUUAACAUCUCAUUUGAGAUCCUGUUAAACUUUAACACCCCCUUCCAAAUAGGCCCUUAACACGUGUUUGGGAGGCAAUGUGAUAAAAAAGUUCACAUGUGUUUGGGAGGCAAUGUUAUAAAAAAGUGGGGUGUUAAACUUUAACACACCUGUCAAACAGGACCUAAAUAAGAUGAAUUUCCAUGAGUCGUUGACAUCUCCAUAAUAAUCUUGAGUGGUUAGCCCAAUAACUGAACCCAGUUGAAGCCCAUUCAACAAAUCAAAUCAGGCCCACAUAUACAUCGGGCCCAUUCAAUAAUGUUCGUCAUUUGUGUUUUUUCCCUAUCACUAUCCCUAUCCCUAUCCCUAUCCCUAUCCCCAUUGCUAAAUAAACAAAGGAUUUAGAAUAAAAUUUUAUAAGCCCAUCCCAUAACCCACCC